UAUUCUGCCCCAUGGGGAAGGAUGAGAAGCUUCGACUAAGGUUCGACUCGAGCGAAGCGAGAGAACGUUGCCGCAGGCAACGGCCCG
rnacentral:sRNA from 1 species